rnacentral:rRNA from 1 species
CCCUACGGGUCUAGGGAAUACCCCGGAUCCGUUUUGCCCCCUGUCCCUAGCUUCAUAAUAAAAUUGUGGAGACUAUGUGGCAAAAGAAAAACAAGGGAUUUAAAAGAACGGGGGGGGGGAGGACCCUUAGGGGUCCCCCCCCGGGAUCCGAAGGGUCCGCCACGCCCCGUCCCGAUUUAUAUGAAAAACCACUCUUUUUAUUAAGAUUACUGUCUAACACCGUACAAGUAAGAUAGUUUGGUUGGGGCGACCGCCUUCGAAAAAGUAUCGAAGGCGCACAUAAGAUUAAUCAGGAGAAGGAUCCGAAGGAUCUUUUUCUCGGGAGUAAUGUCCCAAAAAAAGGAGAUUAAUUUGACUGAGAGGGCAACAACCCGAACAGACGUCAAAGGAUAGACCGGGGGGGGAAUCCUACAGAUUCCUUCCCCCCCUUCUUUUGGCGGGUCAUAGUGAUCC